CCUACGGGCGGCAGCAGUGGGGAAUAUUGCACAAUGGGCGCAAGCCUGAUGCAGCCAUGCCGCGUGUGUGAAGAAGGCCUUCGGGUUGUAAAGCACUUACAGCGGGGAGGAAGGCGGUGAGGUUAAUAACCUCAUCGAUUGACGUUACCCGCAGAAGAAGCACCGGCUAACUCCGUGCCAGCAGCCGCGGUAAUACGGAGGGUGCAAGCGUUAAUCGGAAUUACUGGGCGUAAAGCGCACGCAGGCGGUCUGUCAAGUCGGAUGUGAAAUCCCCGGGCUCAACCUGGGAACUGCAUUCGAAACUGGCAGGCUAGAGUCUUGUAGAGGGGGGUAGAAUUCCAGGUGUAGCGGUGAAAUGCGUAGAGAUCUGGAGGAAUACCGGUGGCGAAGGCGGCCCCCUGGACAAAGACUGACGCUCAGGUGCGAAAGCGUGGGGAGCAAACAGGAUUAGAUACCCUAGUAGUC
rnacentral:rRNA from 1 species